rnacentral:tRNA from 1 species
GAGAUACUAGUAUAAUUAAGUAUAUCUAUCUUUCAAGUAGGGGGUUGGUAUCUUA